UUCGCGGAUAAAGGAUGUGUAAAUCGUGCNUGGNACGCGNCGUGGCGGUUUAAAUUAAGUGUUNAGUGUUAUAAUUAUAUCUGUGUAUGGACUGGUGUAAUGUGUAAGUUUGUGUUGAUUUGUGUGUGCGCGUGGUAUGGUGGCGUGGGUGCUGACGCGUAUCCCCGCAAUUAGUGGUGCCAAUAAAGUGAAUAAUACUAAAGUGCAUUUGGUUACAAAAAUUUUUGUUGGACUUGUGCUUUGAAGUGUGCAAAUUUGCGUAUUUAAUGAAGCAACAAAACGGCGUCGCGAGACUUCCGGAAAAACACGAGCUGUGGAAAAUCAAAGAGUGCAGACAUAAUUGUUGUUGCUCUAUAAUUUAUUGUGUGCGACGCGCGACCGACUCUAUAUGUGCGAGCGUAGAAGUAUGUAAAUUGGCAUACCAAUACAUCGGCAAUAUUUCGCAUACACACGCACAAAAGGCACUUAAAAAAGCUCGCGUUUGUGUGUCNGCAUCGGUGUCGGGACUCUUCCUUGCUGUGUGCUGAAAGAAGCGUGCUGAAAGUGGCGCAGUAGCGAAAAAUUGCGCAGGCGCUGUGCAUGCCAUGCCUGCUGUGUAAUUAUUUAUGACGGAAUAAUAAUAAUAAUAGGAAGCGAUAAGCAAAAAAAAAAUCAUAAUAAUAAUAAAAACAAAAAUAGAUAAUUUGGUAAUAAUGAUCAAAAAAUUUGGUGAUAGUGCAAAGUGUUUAAUAGAAAAUAUUUGUUGAAACAUUUUUUGUCUGUGAANGCCUCUGAGUAACAACGUGGUGUUGGCAUGUAAACAACGAACAUUUGGUCUAAAAAAUCAACCGACUGUGAACGUGUCAAAAUCAUACGCUUCAAAGCGAUAUCAAGCAUUACAUAUCAUGCAAUAACGGUUUAUUGUGUCAGAGGCGCGGUAUUACUAUUCACUUUGACUCAGCCAACAAUACAAUACUGGCAGCAGCGACAACGACAAGCGCAAUAUCAAAGGUUCUACAACGUUAUUGCGCAUUUUCAAAGCGCCCAACAACCAAGUAAGUGGCCGUGAUAGCCACGCUUUGACGGCUGAGCUGUUGCGGCACACCACACACCACGCCACGCCAUGGUGGAGUCUUCAGCCAUUGGCCGGCCACUAACUGGAUGUGUAAAUCCACAGCAGCCGGCAACAGCUGCCAUCACCGCCACCGCACAGCAUUCGCCCUCCGGCAUGCGUUGCGGCACGUUGGAGACGCGCGUGCGAGGCGCCUGGUAUCGGGUGCUGGUGACGCUGGAAACCGACUUUCUGGCAAUUAGUUUGGACGAGUCCUGCGAUGCGGCGGCCAUCAGUGUGGACCAAUCGACCACACUGAAUGGCACUUUGGGCAGCAAUCACAGCGGUCAUAAUGGGUCCAUACCCUCAUCAGCCUCCAUGCAGGGUAUGGGCGGCACGGGCACGAGCACGGGCAACGGCGCUGAUACCGAUUGUACGGACAAUGGUGGUGGCAGCGCUAACGGCGGCGACCAUCUGCUGAAUAAUAAUACGUUGGACAAUGGACUGGAUAUGUGCGAUGUACCUGAUCAUGUGGCAAAUCAAAAGAGACAUGUGCGCAUCAUUAAAUCGGACAACAACGGUCUCGGCAUUUCCAUUAAGGGCGGACGCGAAAAUCGCAUGCCCAUAUUGAUAUCGAAAAUUUUCCGCGGCAUGGCGGCGGAUCAAGCCAAGGGGCUGUAUGUGGGCGAUGCCAUACUGUCGGUGAACGGCGAGGAGCUGCGCGAAGCAACACAUGAUGAGGCAGUGCGCGCACUAAAACGAGCCGGUCGCGUUGUGGAUUUAGAAGUGAAAUUCCUGCGCGAGGUGACACCGUACUUCCGAAAAGCCAGUAUUAUCUCCGAAGUGGGCUGGGAAUUGCAGCGCGCCUUCCUGUGUCCACUGGGGCCCGGCGCGCCUACAUCGCCGCCAGCGCCGAAGAUCACACCGCGCGCCGACACGCGUUACAUACCGUUGCAGUUGACACAUUUGGCGCGCAAUUUGAAAUACAUCGAUCCCGAGAACCGUUGUAUCGAACUGCAUUCGCCGGAUGGCGUGCACUCGUGCAUCCUGCGCGCCACCGACUCAGCCGAAGCGCUGAUCUGGUUCAAUGCGCUGCACUCGGCGAUGUGUGGCAGCACACAGCGCGCACUCACCGAUGCCAAUCGCGCGCUAAUGAAUGUCAUCGGCGAGCUGAAGCACAUUGGCUGGCUUAGCAGGCGUUUGAGUGGCGGCAGCACCAGCGGCGGCGUGGGCGGUGGCAGCUCUGGCAGCGGCGGUGGUGGUGGCGGCAGCAGCGCCAGCGCUAUUGGCGGCGGCGGCGCAGGCGAUUUGCCAAGCGGACGUUCCAGCUCGGAGAGUUCCGAUGAAAACGACAAAUGGCAACCGAUUUUUGUCGCCGUCACCGAACGUGAGUUCAGGAUUUACGAGUCCGCUCCUUGGUCAGUGGAGGCAUGGGGACGUCCGUUGGAGAGCUUUGCAUUGGCAACAACAAGACUGGCUGGCGCUGGCAAUAAUUCAUCUUUGAACGGUCAACAGACGACGGUCUUUUGCGUGCGCUGCGGCACCACCCGUGGCGUGCUGGUCUAUUGGCUGCGCUCGGAGACGCAUCGCGACAUGGCUGCGUGGGCGCGCGCACUGGUGCAGGGCUCACACAACGCCGUCAACUAUCAGCGUGAGUUCUCAUUUCGCUGCCUCUACCAAGGCAGACAGUGUCAAUUGGUUGUGCAUUUGAAUCGCGGCUUUUGCCUAUACGACUGCAGCGGGUUUUCGGCGGCGGCGGCGGCGGGUGUCGUAGUGCCGCCCAAUCAGGCCAAAACUCAGUUGUGGCAAUUUCCGUUCGACAAAUUGAAGGGCUCAGCGGACGACGGCAUACGCAUGCUGUACUUGGAUUUCGGCGAUGACGGCGAAAUUGAACUAGAUAUGGAAUGCUGUCCCAAGCCGGUGGUCUUCGUGGUGCACAAUUGCCUGUCGGCGAAAGUACACUCCAUCACCUAAGAGGAGCCAGCGCCAGCUGACGCGCAGCGGGCAGCUUGAUCAGCGUCUGACGUAGCACAAACAAAAUUACUUUGAGAAGCGUAAGAAGGAGGCCCCCACAAAUGGGCGAGCAGCAGUAACGUAGUAAAAAUUUUUGUAAUUUCAUACCAAACGCCGUUGAGUGAAUGCAGUUGAAAGAGAAAAACAAGUAAACGUUUAUAUACACUGUGCAACAUGUUGCGCGUUUAUAAUAAUGCAAUAUAUCAAAUUUACUUAGUACUUAAUCAUAAAGUAAUUAUAACAUAAUUAUACUUAAUACAAUUGUGGUAAGCAUAAGUAGAUUUGUAUAGCAACGUAUGUUAAACAGUUGAACGUCAGCUGGACAGCUUUUGAGCGCGUGUGUGCUUCCUUAUUUUGUAUAAGGUGCAAAACUAGUCUUCAGUCGCGUAAUUCAAAUAAUACACAUUAUGCAUAAAUUUAACAAUCCGUACCGUUAUACAUUAGUAUAUACUAUGUAUAACAUUUAAAUGUAAACACACACACUUGCAACACAAUAUUUCCGAAUAUUUGCAGGUUUGCUACUUUUCACACCGAAAUUCAUACUUCUCAGCCUAAAUAGGGUUGCAAUUUUUUUGGUGUUUAGCGAAAUUAAAGCGCACAAACUCGUGUGUAAGUGUUUAAAGUUUAGUUUUAAAAUAGUAGAAAGUAAGCUCGAAAAAACUGUCUGUAUGUUUGUAAAAAAGAAUUUCAAAUGGCAUGUAUAAAAAUAAUCCUUUUUCAAAUUUGCAUAAUUAAAUUGCACAUUCGACUAAUAUUUAAUUAACAAAUACAAACAGGCCAAAGCCAAACGAGUGCACAUGUUACAAACACAUACAUAUAUAUACAUAUAAAAUAUAUGUAUGUACAUAUGUAUGUAUGUAUGUAUGUACAUACAUAUAUUAGGGUGGUUAAAAAAAUCUUACUUUUUCCACUUGUUACUUUGAAGUAUAUGUACUUUGAAACCUCUAACAUAGAUAUACAUUAAAAAAAUAUGUUCAAAUAUUAGGGUGGGUCAAAAAAAAAUCGGAUUUUUUUUCUGCUUGGUACUUUGAAGGUUAGGUUUUUAGACACCUCUAACACAUCCUAAUAUAUAAAAAAAAAAUAAUUCGUUUUUGACCCACCCUAAUGUACAUAUAUAUUCUUACAUAUACAUACACAACACAAACAUAGUUUGAAACAGAGGGAAUGAGAUGUGCAAAUGCAAACUAACAAUGUAAUAUUUGUUUAUUUGCAUGUUUGUACAUAUUUGCAAUAAAAUACCGAACAAAAGAACCGAGGAUAAUAAUUAAAUUUAACAGAAAAAUAAAAAAGUAUCACAUUUACAUUUACUACUGCAUACAAUUUACGAAAAACUAUAAUAUAAAUAAUAUUACAAAAUAGGCAACAACAAUUACCGUUAGAUAAAAUCCAGCAACAUAUCUCGAUCAGCUGCAAUCAGCAACUGCAUACAUAGAGACUUAAUAAUAUUAAUUAACAAAAUUAAAUUUAAUUAAUAAAAGUGUUAACAACAAAAGCGGAAAUCAAAUGAAAAUAACGCUAAACAGCAGUUAAGCGGACAAACGGCGCCAUAGCUGAUUUGGAACACAUUUUUCUCUAAUUGCCCCUAAAGACCGAAAACCAACACAUUAAUGCAAUAGGCGUGUCGUAAAGGCGUUAUUGAACACUUUGCCGUAAAAACAGCAGCAACAGCAAGAAUCAGUAUAAUAUACAUAUAUAUAUAUAUAAAGAAUU
rnacentral:misc_RNA from 1 species